rnacentral:lncRNA from 1 species
AAAAAGGUUUGAGUAGAACAACACAAGAUAUUCGGUAUGUUGACAUAAAAAACUUGCACUAUACAAAUCCUGAAGAAACACAAAUGAUAGCAAAGGAAGUUGGCACUAAAGAGAAAAGAAUCUAAAAACGGAGAACCCCAAAAUGCCUAAAAGGUAAUUCGACCACUACUCAAUACCAUUUGACGAAAAUGCACACCUCCAAACCCCUUGGCCGAAUUUUGCAUCAUCAAUCUGCCCAUUUCAACUACAACUCACUCAAACUCCUUGAAAAUCUCCUUGAUUCUCUCCCUGAUAUCCUCCACAACCAACCACAAGACCAAUUCAAACUCUCUAUCACCAGAGUUCAAAUCCAACACUAACUCUUUUCAUCCCCUGCUAGCAAAAUAAUUACCCCUUGCUUGCCAUAAGAUUCGAA